rnacentral:rRNA from 1 species
GGAUAUUUGAGAGGAGCUGCCCCUAGUACGAGAGGACCGGGGUGGACGGACCACUGGUGUAUCAGCUGUCGACCAACGGCAUAGCUGAGUAGCCAAGUCUGGACGGGAUAAACGCUGAAGGCAUCUAAGCGUGAAGCCCCCCUCAAGAUGAGAUAUCCCAUUCCUUCAAGGAAAUAAGAUCCCUUAUAGACGAUAAGGUAGAUAGGUUCAAGGUGUAAGUGCGGUAACGCAUUCAGCUGAUGAAUACUAAUAGAUCGAAGGUUUAUUCU